AAAAUUCUGGAUAUUCUUUUUUGAUUAAAAUUUUUACUUGAUUUUUUAAAAUAAUUUCUCUCCUAGGAUUCUUCAUCUUCUUACUCAUUAUGACUAUAUUUUCCUCUUGUAUAUAAGCACAUUUAUAGCUGUUAAUGUCCUUGUUUGCUGAUUCCAACAUGUAUGUCAUCUUAAGUUUCUUUUCUAGUUGCUUACUUACCUCUGGGCUGUGGCCCACAUUUUUUUAUUUCUAUGCAUUGUAAUUCUUUUUUAUUGUAGGCUGGAGAUUAAAUAUAUUACAUUACAGGGAGUCUGCAUUAUGUUGUCUUUCUUUAAAUAAAGUUUUUAUAUGAGAAUAACAUAAGCUUUAUAGAAGAGUUUCGAAGGUAGUACAUAGAAUUUUUUUCAUACCCAUCGCCUCAUUUCUUCUAAUUUUUUUUUUUUCUGCUUGCUCUGGCGUUUAUUACAGCAAGCAAACCUCACCGCCUCAACCUCACAGCUAUAAACUAGGAUGUGAACCCCCGAAAGCCUAUAUAAACAGCUAAAAUAAUGGUUAUCAACCCUGGAGACUGAAGCUCUCCAGCCAGUCUUUUAAAUGUUUAGAACAGGGACGCCCGGGUGGCUCAGUGGUCGAGCCUCUGCCUUGGGCCCAGGGCGUGAUCCCGGCGUCCUGGGAUCGAGCCCUACGUGGGGCUCCCUGCUAGGAGCCUGCUCCUCCCUCUGCCUGUGUCUCUGCCUCUCUCUGUGUCUCUCAUGAAUAGAUACAAUCUUUGAAAACUAAAAUAAAAAGAUGAAUGUUUAGAACACUUCUGAGAAGCCCUGUUCGCUGGUGGCCCAGCCUAUUCACAGGCAACCACUGGGAAACACCGAGAAGGUCUCUCAGAAGGCGGCUUAAGCGUGUUACAAGCAGCGUGCAGUGGGGAGGCAGCAAGUUGCAAACGCUCGAAAGCCCCUGAGGCACACGGUGGAAAGCCCGAGGCUCGUCGUCGUGCGAACCACGAACCACAGAGCGUGACUGCGUGACCGCGGGUGGGCAUCCUCGCUCCAACGCGCUCGGGCCUGCCUGCCCCCGACGCAGGAGCCUCGGGCCGCGGACCGGGGCCUGCAGACCUCGGCGUCCCGGAAGCCUGGUUUCGUUACCCCUCGGCUACUCAGGUUCCGAGGGCUCUCGCUUAGGAGGAGAUGGGAGGUGGACAGAAAACCUCCAUACGCCGACAAUAUGAACGUCCCGGCGCUUCCGUAACUCGGAAGAACCCCGUGUGAGGAGGUCUGGCGAAGGCGGCGCGGAAUCCACGGCGCAAACUCUGGAGACGAAUUUCCUCAGGCGCCGCGUCUAGGGCGGCGCAGGCCGGAGAGCCCCGGUGCCCCGAGGCGGAGGCCGUUUCUCCGGAUGUCGGCGUCUUAGGUAACGCCCGCACCGGCAUCAGAAGGAAGAAUCAAUGACUGCUCCGCCAUGACUAGUGAGCUGCAGGGUUUCUUUGAAUUUCACCGGUUUUUCACUCAUGUUCUUUUUCUGUUCCGGGACCUUGGACACCAUCUUGCUCAUGUUUUCUUGAUCCUCUCUGGACAUUUUGCAGAACUCAUUUCUGCAAAGGCUGCAAAGCAGAAUGCUAGUGUGUUUCUAAGCUGCAGAACAAGACAUCAGUGCUAUUUUAUUUCAGCUGUCCUGUCCAUAUUUUCUUAUUGGGGACCCUAGCCCUGACUACCUGUCCAACUAACUAACUCCUAACAGAAGAAAGUAACUAAAGUUAAUUAGGUCAUUAUGGUGGGGUCCUGAUCUGAUAGAAUUAGUGCCCUUAUAAGAAGAGCCACCAGAGAGUGUGCAGGCUCCCUUUCUUCCUACAAAAGUGCGCUGAGGAAAGGCUACGGAGCACCAUGGUGAGAAGGCCACUGCAGCCCAACGGAGGAGUUCUCACCAGAUACCAACCCUGCCAGCAGCUUCAUCUUGAACUUCCAGUGUCCAGAAAUUGGUCUACUGAACCCCAAGCCCAGAAUGACUACAGACCACAGCCAAAAGUUUCUUCUGGCAGGUCCCCUCUCUCACGCCAUGUGGCAAUAGCUUUGGGAUUUCUGAACACUAUUCUUGUGUGUUUCCUGCUUGUUCAGUGGAUUCUCUGCCAGGGUUCCAAGUGCAACACGUGUACCAGUUGUUAUAGUUGCCCUGACCUCUGGAUGAGGUAUGGUAACCAUUGUUAUUACUUCUCAGUGGAGAAAAAAGACUGGAAUUCUAGUCUGGAAUUCUGCUUAGCUGAAGACUCACAUCUCCUUAUGUUCACAGACAACCAAGAAAUGCAGUCUCCUGGAGGAGAGCUCUUUAUUAAUCCUAGAGCAUCUCAAGCAUAUCCUAUGAAACAGGAUUCAACAUCUCCAUUUACUGAUGAAUGAGUGGUUAAUGAACAAGAGUUAGUGACAAAUAGCCUGCUUAAAAAUUUCCUCAGAAAGGACUACUACUGGAUUGGUCUCAGGAACAGUUCUGGUUGGAGGUGGGAAGAUGGAUCAGCCUUAAACCACUCAAGUAUUCUCUCAAACAGCUUGAUACAGAAGUGUGGUACCU